CCUACGGGAGGCUGCAGUGGGGAAUAUUGGACAAUGGGGGGAACCCUGAUCCAGCCAUGCCGCGGGUGUGAAGAAGGCCCUCGGGUUGUAAAGCACUUUCAGUGAGGAAGAACGCCUGGUGGUUAAUACCCAUCAGGAAAGACAUCACUCACAGAAGAAGCACCGGCUAACUCCGUGCCAGCAGCCGCGGUAAUACGGAGGGUGCGAGCGUUAAUCGGAAUUACUGGGCGUAAAGCGCGCGUAGGUGGCUUGAUAAGCCGGUUGUGAAAGCCCCGGGCUCAACCUGGGAACGGCAUCCGGAACUGUCAAGCUAGAGUGCAGGAGAGGAAGGUAGAAUUCCCGGUGUAGCGGUGAAAUGCGUAGAGAUCGGGAGGAAUACCAGUGGCGAAGGCGGCCUUCUGGACUGACACUGACACUGAGGUGCGAAAGCGUGGGUAGCAAACAGGAUUAGAUACCCCAGUAGUC
rnacentral:rRNA from 1 species